rnacentral:rRNA from 1 species
GACGAACGCUGGCGGCGUGCUUAACACAUGCAAGUCGAACGAUGAAGCCCAGCUUGCUGGGUGGAAGAGUGGCGAACGGGUGAGUAACACGUGAGUAACCUGCCCUGAACUCUGGGAUAAGCACUGGAAACGGUGUCUAAUACUGGAUACGACCUAUCACCGCAUGGUGUGUGGGUGGAAAGAUUUAUCGGUUCUGGAUGGACUCGCGGCCUAUCAGCUAGAUGGUGAGGUAAUGGCUCACCAUGGCGACGACGGGUAGCCGGCCUGAGAGGGUGACCGGCCACCCUGGGCCUGAGACACGGCCCAGACUCCUACGGGAGGCAGCAGUGGGGAAUAUUGCACAAUGGGCGCAAGCCUGAUGCAGCAGCGCCGCGUGAGGGAUGACGGCCUUCGGGUUGUAAACCUCUUUUAGUAGGGAAGAAGCGAAAGUGACGGUACCUGCAGAAAAAGCACCGGCUAACUACGUG